GGCCAAUGACUUGAAUUAAUUGUCCGUACCAUCUGAAGGCUAGCAGUUGCUUGUCUAUUGCUGCACUUAUCUCUGAGGCCU
rfam:Zea mays cultivar B73 chromosome 9, whole genome shotgun sequence.